rnacentral:rRNA from 1 species
UACAGAGACCUCAAGCGUUAUCCGGAAUCAUUGGGCGUAAAGCGUACCGAUAGGUGGUUUUACAAGUCAGAAGUGAAAUCUCUCAGCUUAACUGGGAGACUGUCUUUUGAAACUGUAAAACUUGAGGGGCAAAGAGGAAGCUGGAACAAACGGUGUAGUAGUGAAAUGCGUUGAUAUCGUUUGGAACACCAAUAGCGUAGGCAGGCUUCUGGGUGCCACCUGACACUGCUAGGACGAAAGCGUGGGGAGCGAUAAGG